UCCGAAGGGGGCUAGCGUUGUUCGGAAUUACUGGGCGUAAAGCGCGCGCAGGCGGUCUUCCAAGUCAGUGGUGAAAGCCCGGAGCUCAACUCCGGAACUGCCAUUGAAACUGUGAGACUUGAGGACGAGAGAGGUGAGUGGAAUUCCCAGUGUAGAGGUGAAAUUCGUAGAUAUUGGGAAGAACACCGGUGGCGAAGGCGGCUCACUGGCUCGUAUCUGACGCUCAGGCGCGACAGCGUGGGGAUCAAACAGG
rnacentral:rRNA from 1 species